UAUCUCUGUAGAGUCUGCAUAUCAAUAAGCGGAGGAAAAGAAACUAACUAAGGGAUUCCCUCAGUAACGGCGAGUGAAGCGGGAAGAGCUCAAAUUUGAAAUCUUCAAGGUUCUACCUUGACGAAUUGUAGUUUAAAGAAGUGUUUUCUGUUGGAGUUUUGGUAAAAGUUCUUUGGAAUAGGACAUCAUAGAGGGUGAGAAUCCCGUAUUUGACCAUUAUUUCCAGCUUUGUGAUACACUUUCAAAGAGUCGGAUUGUUUGGGAAUGCAGUCCAAAAUGGGUGGUAAAUUUCAUCUAAAGCUAAAUACUGGCGAGAGACCGAUAGCGAACAAGUACCGUGAGGGAAAGAUGAAAAGAACUUUGAAAAGAGAGUUAAACAGUACGUGAAAUUGUCAAAAGGGAAGCGUUUGACACCAGUGUUGUUUUCUCGAAAAUCAAUUAAGAAUGGCAUGAUUCUGUGUUGUAUUGACCUUAUCAGCUUUCUUCACUCUUUUCUGAGUCUUUUUUAAUGCAGCUUUUCGGUUAACAAGUCAACAUCAAUUUCUUUUGUUGUAAAAGAGGUCAUUGGAAGGUGGCUUUCUUUUCGGAGAAAGUGUUUAUAGCCCUUAUGCCUCUACAAUCGGAGAGAUUGAGGUCUGCAGCGUAGAUCCUUCGGGGUUAGAUACAUUUGUGCUAAGUUAUAGCCUUUCAUAGACAACUUGUUGACUAUGAUCAGUCAUGUAGCUUACUCGCUUAUGCUAUUUUACCUACGCUUAGGAUGUUGAAGAUGUAGCACAUCAU
rnacentral:rRNA from 1 species